UCACAUUAAUUGAACCCGUACAUGGAACCGUGGCUUAACUUUUCCUCAAUGUGCGGAUUCUGUCCUUAAUUCCGGUUGGAUGGGGCGACUGGUAAAUUCUGAUAAAUUAGGUCUGUAGAAUAUCAUUUUCUUUCUUUCCGUCUGUUAGCCAUAUGUUGUCUCCUUUGCGCGACUUCUAAUCCGACCUGGUACACAACAUAUGCAACUCUAUUUCUCUGCAGGAUAUAUAUAUAUAUAUGUGUGAAAUAUACUAGUGAAAUACUUCUCAUCUGUAAGCCAUAUGCUGUCUCUUUUGCGCGACUUCUAAUCCGACCUGGUACACAGCAUAUGCAACCUUCUUCUUCUCAACCCCUCUGAAGUAAUUAGCAAUAGAAUUCUGAAUCUAUUCUCUCUUUGAAUGGUUGUCUGCUCACCCGGUGUAAGGAGUACUCUGGAAGUUCUUGAUGGCUGGGGCAUAUCAGGAAGCGGGAAACACGUUCCAGUACACUUAAAAUUGAACUCAUACAGAUUGUCUGUAGAUCUCGCUGCUCGAUUUAGGUGGACAACAAUAUCCCUGGUUGUAGUCAGUUAAAUGGUCAUAAGGUGAAUUUAUUUAAGAUUUAGGAGUUAUCAUAAUUACAGAAAUUUACAAUUACAUAUAUGCCUGAAUCAUGUCAUUGGUAAAAUGUCCAAAACUGUC
rnacentral:lncRNA from 1 species